rnacentral:rRNA from 1 species
CCAGACUUGACAUGCAUUGGACGCGUGUGGAAACACACGUUCCCUUCGGGGCCGGUGCACAGGUGCUGCAUGGCUGUCGUCAGCUCGUGUCGUGAGAUGUUGGGUUAAGUCCCGCAACGAGCGCAACCCUUGUCCUUAGUUGCUAACGGGUAAAGCUGAGCACUCUAAGGAGACUGCCGGUGAUAAACCGGAGGAAGGUGGGGAUGACGUCAAGUCCUCAUGGCCCUUACGUCUGGGGCUACACACGUGCUACAAUGGCCGGUACAGAGGGUUCCGAUACCGCGAGGUGGAGGCAAUCCCAAAAAACCGGUCUCAGUUCGGAUUGCAGUCUGCAACUCGACUGCAUGAAGUCGGAAUCGCUAGUAAUCGCUGAUCAGCAGGCAGCGGUGAAUACGUUCCC